UACGGAGGGUGCGAGCGUUAUCCGGAAUUACUGGGUUUAAAGGGUGCGUAGGCGGCUUAGUAAGUCAGGAGUGAAAGUUUGCGGCUCAACCGUAAAAUUGCUUUUGAUACUGCUAGGCUGGAAUUAGGAUGAGGUCAGCGGAAUGUGGCAUGUAGCGGUGAAAUGCAUAGAUAUGCCAUAGAACACCAAUUGCGAAGGCAGCUGGCUAGACCUGGAUUGACGCUGAGGCACGAAAGCGUGGGGAGCGAACAGGAUUAGAUACCCUGGUAGUCCACGCCCUAAACGAUGCUCACUCGACGUAUGAUACUAGAUAUUGUGCGUCCAAGGGAAACCGUUAAGUGAGCCACCUGGGGAGUACGACCGCAAGGUUGAA
rnacentral:rRNA from 1 species